rnacentral:pre_miRNA from 1 species
AACAUUCAUUGCUGUCGGUGGGUUUUCUUUUCUGUCAACUCACUGAUCAAUGAAUGCAAA